rnacentral:ncRNA from 1 species
UUGGUCAUACAAAGUAGAGAUGAUUAGCAUCUUCCCUUACAUGGUCGGGAUAGCCUUCAGGCUUUACCUGAUCCGAGCAGUUGUCUCUGCUUUUCAUUUUU